rnacentral:rRNA from 2 species
CCAUGGGCAGGUUGAAGGUUGGGUAACACUAACUGGAGGACCGAACCGACUAAUGUUGAAAAAUUAGCGGAUGACCUGUGGCUGGGGGUGAAAGGCCAAUCAAACCGGGAGAUAGCUGGUUCUCCCCGAAAGCUAUUUAGGUAGCGCCUCGUGAAUUCAUCUCCGGGGGUAGAGCACUGUUUCGGCUAGGGGGCCAUCCCGGCUUACCAACCCGAUGCAAACUGCGAAUACCGGAGAAUGUUAUCACGGGAGACACACGGCGGGUGCUAACGUCCGUCGUGAAGAGGGAAACAACCCAGACCGCCAGCUAAGGUCCCAAAGUCAUGGUUAAGUGGGAAACGAUGUGGGAAGGCCCAGACAGCCAGGAUGUUGGCUUAGAAGCAGCCAUCAUUUAAAGAAAGCGUAAUAGCUCACUGGUCGAGUCGGCCUGCGCGGAAGAUGUAACGGGGCUAAACCAU